rnacentral:rRNA from 1 species
UGAGGAAUAUUGGUCAAUGGGCGAGAGCCUGAACCAGCCAAGUAGCGUGAAGGAUGACGGCCCUACGGGUUGUAAACUUCUUUUGUGCGGGAAUAAAGGAGCCUACGUGUAGGCUUUUGCAUGUACCGUAACGAAUAAGCAUCGGCUAACUCCGUGCCAGCAGCCGCGGUAAUACGGAGGAUGCGAGCGUUAUCCGGAUUUAUUGGGUUUAAAGGGAGCGUAGACGGGUUUUUAAGUCAGCUGUGAAAGUUUGGGGCUCAACCUUAAAAUUGCAGUUGAAACUGGAGACCUUGAGUACGGUUGAGGCAGGCGGAAUUCGUGGUGUAGCGGUGAAAUGCUUAGAUAUCACGAAGAACCCCGAUUGCGAAGGCAGCCUGCUAAGCCGCCACUGACGUUGAGGCUCGAAAGUGCGGGUAUCAAACAGG